rnacentral:lncRNA from 1 species
ACAUCUAUCCUCAGAAGCCAAGGAUUUAUAUUUGUGUAAUAAUAGAUGCUUUCCCAAAAGAAAAGACGAAGGGCCAACCAACUACCUGGCUUGGGUUCCAGAGGCCCAUCAUUACAAAAAAAUUUUAAAUUGAAAAUUGAGUCUAAGCCAGAAGUGGCACAGAUAGGCCCAUCUUGGACCAAAAGGGUAGAAAGCGAAAUUGAAGAGACAAUGUUAUAUAUUUAAAUUAUAACAGGUAAUAAUUUGCACAUAAUGUUAUAUAUUUGUUAUUGUUUUCAGGUUGAGGUUCAUGUUGAAAGAUUGAAUGUACUGAAGGCUAGUAAAAUGAAGGAGUUGGUAUUUAAGAGGCAAAAUGAACUUGAGGAAAUCUACAGAGGAGUUCAUAUGGAUGUAAACAGUGAUGCAGCACGGCAACUUCUUAUCAAUCUCAUAGAAUCUGGUUCUGCCAAAUUAUCUCCUUGUUCUGGAUUAUCUAUAUCUUCGUGAAACUAUUUAUUGUAUCUUUGUUUUCAUUUCUAUAAACAUACCUUUCUUUUUCAUAUUAUGUACUGAUUUUCAUUUAUAGUGUCACAUUUUGCCUUACAUAAUAACAACACAAUGAGGUGUAUGCUUGUUUGCAUGUUCUCUGUUAUCUGCUUCUCCUUUAGGAAUAUUCAUUUCCUUUCUAAAAUUUCUUUUUAUUUUUUUAUUAUUUUGUAUGAUUCUUUUUUGGAGCUUGUGAUGCAUCAUUUAAUUUAAUGCAAAAUGUGGUUUUGCUGCAUAGAUGUCCUUGUUUCAUCUCAUAUUGAUUUCUGUUCCCUGCAUCACAUUUUGACUUACAUUUACAUUUUGUAGCUUUUUAUGUGGCCAUUCAAUUUAACUACAAAAACAGUUUGCUAUUAACAUGUCCUUCUUCUCUCACAUAUUAAUUUGCUUUAGCAAAGUCAUAUUUCUAUUCAAUGGCAUGUUAUUUGCAUCUCAACUACUAUGUGCAUCAUUAUUGGAAUAUUUAGUUCUGUCCCUCUUUCUAGUCAUCAUACUAACUUUUUAAUAUUUUGUGUAUCUUGUCUCUGUAGCAUACUAUGCAACCUCUUAAUUUUGAUUAUGUAUAUGCAUCUCUAAGGACCUUUCUCUCAAUAAUUAUAGCUUUGCAAAACCUAGUAUGUUUUGGACAAUUAGAAUACAUGCACUAUGCUUUCUAACUGCUAGUUUACAUGAGUUAUGCAUGGGUUUUAUUUUGUCAUCUAUUAUCUCAUGAUACCCUGUUCCAGGUUAUGAAAUCCUUUUUUGCGGUGAACAUUCUUAACAAAUCUGCAACAAUGCAAUCUGCAUACAAUUCUUGACGUGAAAUUGUUGUUAAAAUGUUAUGUGUUUCAACACGCCUCUUCAGGUGAUGUUGAUCUGUCCAAUCUGCUUUCAAGCAUGGAUGAUGAGAUUACAAAAGCCAAACAGGAAGCUUUAAGCCGGAAGGAUAUUUUGGACAAGGUAGAGAAAUGGAAACAUGCAUCUGAGGAGGAAAAAUGGCUUGAUGACUAUGAAAAGGUGAAUCUUAUUUGAGAAGCUAUCAGAAUAUUUUGUGCUGUGUUCUGUGUUACAUAGGAAUAUUUAUUCAGAGAUCCUUAGGGUUGACUCUUGCACUUCACAAAGAUGCUCUAAAAUGUAAUCCUUAUGUUAAUUUGCUAAGAUCUCUAAAUUGUAGCAGUUUUAUACAAUAUGUGUACUUAGUUUCACUUUUUCUUUUUGAAAUCAAGAUCACUGUUAAGCUGUUAUGAUCUAGAGAGGGAUGCCUCCAUAUUUCAUAAAAUUUUUCUGGUGCUCCUAAGUUAUAUACUAUUUCUUGAGGUCAUACACACUAUUGACUAGUUUGAUGUUAAUUAUAUUUGCAGGAAUUAUAUUUUUGCAUAUUAAUGACUCCCCACUAAUUUGGCCAAAAAGAAAAAUGGAAACUCCCUACUAAUACUGUAUGAAAGAUAAAACUUUUUAUAGUGCCAUAGCAAUCUCAAAUUUAAAUCAAAUCAUAUUCAUGAGACAACUGAACCAGUUAAUAGGAUCAGCCUUAUUUCUCCUACCCCAUUGCUUUAGCCAGUGAAAUGUUUUGGAUAGUUCGGUUAUAUAGUAAACUUCUUAAAGAAGGUUGAAGUUAUUGAUGUACUGUUUGCAGCUACAACUCUCAUGGAGCUUAUCUUAUUUGAAGAAAGUAGUUUACAAAGUUUCACAGUAUAAGAUGUUGAUCUGAAAAGAUAAACAAAACGCAUGAGAAACAAUUCUAAACAAUAAAAAAAAUGAUAAAAACAAUGAAGCUCGUAUGCAUAACUAGUGAUAUGAAGAAUGCAGCUUAGUUACAACUGGCAAACCCGGGGCAGAGCUAGCCAAUUUUUAUUGAGGAGGCUAAAAACUAGGAAUAAAAGUUAAAAAUUUUUAAAAUUAAUAUGUUGAAUUUAAUUAAUAAUUAAAAGAUUUAUAAUAGACAAUAAUUUUAUAUAACAUGUUAAUCAAAAGAAACAAAAAUAAAAAAACUUAUAAUAGUGCUUUAGAAAAGUUUUGUUCGACGAUAAUAAUAUAUUUUUCAAUAUAAACAAUUAAAUUAUUUGUAAGAAACUUAUCAUCUAUUUUGUUUUAAAGUCUUGUUUUUCUCAAUAUAAACGAUUAAAAAUUAAUAUAGUCACAUCCAAUAUUUUUAUUUUAUUAUAUUUAAGUUUAUAAUACUAAAUAUUAAACUAUCAUGCAUAAAAUAUAAAUAGUUAAAAACGAUAUAUAAGAUUAAUNUAAUAAUUUAUUUUUAAAUAUUAAAAUCAUAAAAGAUAAAAUUCACAUAACAAAAAAAAAAAAUCAUGAUAAGUAAAAGAUAUAACCUAUAUAACAAAAAAAAAAAAAAAAUUAUGGUUGAUGAUUCGUAGAAAUUUAAAAAAAAAUCUAUAAAAACUUAAAACAUAUAGAAAUAGAAUAAAAUGAAAUAAAUAAUAAAAUUAAAUAUUAAUAAUAAUAUAAAUAGAAAAAAUUAAAUAAAAACUUUACUUCUUUAUAAUUUCACAAUACAAGAAUAGAAAAGAAGAGAGGGAAAGAUGGGUGAAGAAACUUAAAAAAUUAAAAAAAAAUUAAAUUUUUUUUUUUUUUUUUUUUUUUUUUUUUUUUUUUUUAUUUUUUUUAAUUUAUUAAUUAUUCAAUAAAAAAUUACUUUGAAAAAUUAUUAAAAAAUAUAUAAUAUAUGCAAAAUUUCAAAAAUCUUGGGAGGGCCAUGGCCCCCCAUUACAAAGGGACGCUCCACCCUUGGGCAAACCCUCAGUUGGUUUUUUUUUUUAAUUGAAAGAAAAGAAUUCGAACCUUACUAUUUAUGUUAGGGAUCAUACACAAAUUAAUUAGCUAAAUGUUCGGAUGUCAACAAACCCUUAACUGGUUGGCAUCUAAAAUGUUCAAUUCGAUUUAGACAACAUUAUUUACGAAUUGAAGAGUGUGGCUUGAAUUAGGACAAUUUGAUAAGAGUAUGGCUUGAUUUCGGACAACAUUUAAAGUAAAUGCCUGAAUAGGGUAACACUCUAGAAUGAAGCAAGGGGAGUGUAGUUCGGACACUAAUGAAGUAUUUGCGAACAACAUUAAUAUAUCCAAAUAUCUCAAAAUUUGGAUAUUUAGUUAAUGGGGUUUUUACUUUAUUUGUAUUUGUACUCGUGAAGCUUAAAUUUUAUUUUAAUUUUGACACCAACCAAUAAAAUGCGUACUUUUCAAAAAAAAAAAAAAAUAACCGUUACCAAUUAUUAUUCAAGGAGGAAGGUUUGGGUCUUAAUUUUUAUUCUAUACUAGACAAAACAGAACUUCCUUGACCAAAUUUGCCUUCAAUUGGGUGCAUGAAGCAAUGGGAAGAGAUUCUUGUGAUAAGAGACGUGGGUGUCGAUGGCUCCUUAAUCUGAAAUGACAUAAGCAAGAUGGGGGGAUUGAUGAGAAAUGAGAAUAGAAUUUAAAGAACGAAGAUGCUAAUUAACUUUGAUUGUUGUCAACAGUUUGGCAGAUGGGAGGCAGACUUCUUUGGAAUAUAUAACAUCAUACAUGCAGGUGGGGCUAUAUAUGUCAACUAGCUCAUAAAUUCCCUUACAAGCAAUACCAGCAAAUCCAUAAAAUUAGGUAUCUCAAAGGGAUCAUAUCUCUAAUGAAGAUGACUUGCACAUAAGCUAGAUUAUUGUUUUUUUCUUUUUUAUUAGAGGAAUAAAGAUUCGAGCUUAGUUUCUUUGAAUAGGGAUAUACGUAUUCACCGUUAAAUCAAUUGUUCGGGAUGUUUUAUAAUGUAAGUAGAUCAUCUUAAAUAAAUAGAGAUGUGAAUAUCUAAAAUCAAACUAUGUAUUUUACGUUACAUACACAAGACUAUUUUUGUGAAAAAAUAUAUAUAUUUGCAAUGAUAUAAAUCGCUGUGAAGUGUUGCGAAAAGUGUUUGUAAUUAAUUGGCAUAAUAUUUUAAAAUUUUCUUGAACUAUUAGAGAAAAUUUAAAUAAGUUUUUAUUUUUUUAUUGUGUUCAAUCAAACCCCUAUACUUGUAUUUUGAAUUAAAUAGGCACUUGUAACUAACGGUUCAUUAAGUACUGUUAGUUGAAACGUCACUUCUCAUUUUUUAUGUCCAUGUGGCACUGAUAUGGCAUUGAUGUGUAGGUUGAAAAAUAUUAUAUAACUAUAUCAUCAUGCUAUAUUAGUGCAUGACAUGUCAUCAUCCAUGAUAACAUGUCAGCAUACCAAUAUCAUGUGGUAUAAAAUGAUAUAUAAGAGCCUAUUUGAUUAACAAUAAUUAGUUAAUCAUUACUUGUAAAAGCUUAUUUGAUUCAAAAUAAAAAAAAUAAAGAUUUGAUUGAACGUAAUAAAAAAAUAAAUAUUUAUUUAAAAUUUUCUAAAUAAUUCAUGAAUUUUUUAAUGCAUUGUACCUAAUUGAUUCUAUUAUUCAUCACCUGUUUUGCAAGUCAUUAUAAAAUUUCUUAAUGAAAUUCUUUGUUAAAAACAUGUUAAUGUCCCUAAGGCCUAAAUAAGAGGUGUUCACAAUAAUACAUAUUUUGUUAAAAGGCUAGGUGGGCAAUGGGGACUUUUAAGUUAAUGCUACUCAAUCUGCCUAUGGAACUUUGAAGAUUGAAGCCUUAGAAUUUUUUACAAACUGGCAGAUAACUCAACUACGCCACCACCGCAAUUGCAACAAGCAAUUCUCUAAAAUGUCUGUGAUUAGUGCAAAUUUGUAAGGACAAGAAUUCAGUGUAAAGGAGUAUCCUUGAUACCGUAUGACAGAAACCCAAUAUUCCAUAGAAUAUAAUGAGUGUGAGUGAUUUAACUUAUCAGCAGCCACCUGAAUUCUGUAUGCUUAUCAUUCCAAUAAGUUGGAGGGGAGAAGGAACACCAAGAAAGUUGACAACAACUGAACCCAAAUUGUAUCUGUCUGUCUGCUAUUUGAUAACACGGGUGCAUUUUAUCUAGUAGCUUGGAUGUGAUUUUUGAUUAGAAAAUGAAUGGAAGCAUCAGAUUCAAAAACAAAAGAUGCAACUGAGAUUCUUGGAACAAUUUCUGCCAUUUCCAUGGCCUCAACUAGCACAGGGAAAAAAAAAAAAGGGUCAACCACUAGCACACCUUAGUGGAAUCUGAAUCAGACGUCAGCAAUUCUACUAUGUGUGUACUCACAUGAAGCAAAUUCCCAAACCAAAAAGAUUGUUUCAUUUGAGACCAAAUUCUGAGAAACAAAGAAAAAGAGAUUCUGGGAUUCUCUCAUUUUCAUUCAGUACAAGGGUCCUUAACAGCAUUAGCUUACAGCAUUACUUUAUAAUACCGAAACAUUAAAAAAAGAAGAAGGAAAAGCCCCAUAUAUGACAUAUGUCUAACACCUUUUAAAAAUGAUAGAAACAAAAUGGGGAUGUAAAGACAAAAAACCCCAUCCCUUAAUGGUAGAACUAAACUUUGAACGAUGUUUGGUCUUGGUUGGCUUUCAUGGGGGAUUCUGGCACGGGCAUGGCAAUGGCAACUGCUGACAGCUUGUUUGCUUCUGCUAAUUUUUUAAAUUCAACUUCAUUGGCUUCUAUAUCUUCAAUUACUAGGAUUGUGUUGCCAUUUGCUUGGAUCUUAACUGGUUCAGGGAUCUCUUCCUCAUUGACCUCUUUCUCCUUGUUUUCCUUGUGCUUUCCCCAGAGGACUGAAUAAAGCCCUAUAACUAUCCAGAUUGCUCCUAUCACCCUGCAAAUUAAUCCACAAGGGGAUUUGAUUAAUUCCUAUGCGAUUCAUUAAAACCAAAUCAAUUCAUGCAAGUGAUUCUUUUUUAUUUUUAUAUGUUAUAAGAAAAAAAAAAAGAGAAGUGAUGCUUGAUGAAAUAUUCAAUUGUCAGUGGUUGUCACUCUAUGAAAUAGAAGUACAAAAUUGUAUCUAAUGAUUAAGGAUGGUACAAGUGGGGGAUACAACAAAUUAGAAUAAGUGCAAAACCGGCUAUACAAGGAUAUGUAAGAAAGGAUACAUGCAUGCAUGCAGAAAAAUGUAACAGUGAGUGAAGGAGAAAUUAAAAUUUACCCUCCAAGAAAAAUCUUCUCUGCCAGGAUGAAAGACCCCAUGAUUGCAACUAUGAUCAUCAUCAGAGGGCUGAAAGCAGUGGCAAAUACUGGACCUCUUUUCUUUAUCACCAUUCCUUGAACAUAGUAUGAUAUGCUUGAUGUGACAAUUCCCUGUAAACAUUAAAAAAUUAGAAUAGAGACAACACACAAAAGCCACUUUUUUUAUAUGUUUAUAUAGGACUAGAAACAGAGAGAACAGAGAACGAGGUUUAUUACAGCAUAGGCAGCAGCAAGGAGGUUCAUGUCCCAGCCAAUUUGCCAAGCUGAGGUCUUGCGCUCCAUCACAAAUGUCACAACAAUAGCUUAUAGAGUGCCCACAAAGCACACUAGUGAUGUGAGAGAAAGAUGAUGAUUCUUGUAUGUCUUCAAUGCUUUUGCCUGGUAAUGAUAACAAUUAAACAGUGAAGUUAGUUAAUUUGUUGGGGAGGAGGGUGGGGCGGUGUUCUUGUUUUCUAAAAUUUUGCUGUUUAAUUACCUGUAAGACAAAGAGGGAAGCCCAGGCGAGGGUGGCAAUGAUAAGGAGGAUGGAGCCUUUGACCCAAUCUUUGUCAGUAGUUCCAGCAGUGUCAGUGCCGGUCGACUGCCUAGGAUGGAUACUCUUAGUCCAAAACAAUUCAACAAUGGGUCCUUUAUUUAAUGUCAUCAACAUUGCCCCUGCCACUGUCACCAAUGUUCCCACUAUCUUUGCCUGACACCUCACUUUCUUUACAUCAAUCUUCUCCAUCCUAUUCAUUACCAAACCAAACAAAAAUUAAAUUUGAAUCCGUUAGUCAGCCUUAACCAAAUCUACUCUGCAAAUAUGAAAAAGAAAAUCCUAGUUACUGAUCAUGAUUCAUGCGCAUACCGGCACAUAACAGCCAUGACAAAUGUCAUUGCAGGAAGGAUAUUGCUCAUAGCACAUGAGAAAGUUGGAGAUGUAUAUUUCAACCCAGCAAGUAGAAGUUCUGAUCAAUCACCGGCCUGUGUUUUUUUUUAUCAGGAAACAAUAACUUUGCUUUACUUUAAGAUUCCAGUGCAAAAUCAAUGCAUUUGAAAGAAAAGGGUUUCAGCUAAAAACUAACCCCAGAAGAGCCAGAAUGAAUAUUUGCAUGAAAACUGGGAAUGUUAUCUUUGAUUGCCCUCUCCUGAAAUGUUAAAACAUAGUUACAUUCAGCAUAUAUGUAUUUCUUGUGUGAGCUGAUCAUGUUGCUAUCUACAUAUUUCAAUGUUCUUCAAACCUUUCGAAAAUCAAAGCAAAGGGAGCUAUGACUGCAGUUGCAAAAGCAUGCCGGUAGACCACCAGGACAUAGUGGCUCAUGCCUCUGUUAAGUGAAACUUUGGUGAUAAUAUUCAUGCCCGCAUAGCCGAACUGCAAUGAAAUCAUUGCAAAGUAAGGUUUGGAGCUCUCCAGGAAGCUACCACAUCUCAACUUCUCCAUUUUUCUUAACUAUUUGGGAGAAAUUUGAUGGAAAAUUCGGAAAAGAGAGAGUUUCAGUUCUGAGAAGAAAGAGAUCUAGAGGAAAAGAGAGAGGAAGAAUUGAACACCCUGAGAACAAGUGUUUGUGUUUCUCCCUAAAGGAGAAGGCGAGGAAGGGACACAUAUUUAUAUUGGUUUGGAGUGAACUGUCCAUGUCUCAGGCAUGUGGGUGCAUCUGUCAAUAUGUUACUUUACUAUACGAAAAUUUAUCUGGAAAAAGCUAGGUAAGGGAAAAUAUUACAAAGUUUUUAAACUCCUACCAUAUGAUAAAACAUCUUUUACUCUACACUAUUCUAUCAAAGACCUCUUUCAGUCCCUUACUCUCAACUGCAGCAAAUCAAAUCAUUCUAUUAGCCAAGUUUAGCAAGCCUAUAUACUUUCCUAAUUACUGCUUUCAUCACAAUUUUUUAUCUUUAGAAUUAAAUUUUACAAAUAAAUUUCAUUUGUAGACUACUUAGGAAUAUUUCAUUUUUAUUGUUUACCUCAUCCGCAUUUUUUUUAAAAUUUUUUUUCUCAAAUUCGACAUUCUCUCAAUAAAUUCUUGAAUAUUAAUGAAGUUUUAUCACGUCAAUGUCACGCAUAUUAAUAUAAAAAUUUUACAUAAAAACGACAAUUAAGUAUUUUAAAAAAGUCAUAAAUAAAAUAUAAUUAUUGAAUAUUAUAUCAUUGAUAAAUGAUUAUAAAUUAUUCAACUCUUAAUGAUGUAUAUUGUCACGACCCGAAACUCUCCAUCGGGCCCGUAACAACCGUCGCGAGGCCUCGACAGACAUUCUUCACCCUGAAUGCCGAUCGAAACCCCGCAAAGCUCUCGUAUCAGCUUUCGCACUUUCCCGGUAAGCAAUAGUUAUCAAAUAUCAAAAUUUAAGGGAUUACAAAUUAUUUCCAAAUCAGAACAUAAUAUUUUGUUUUCUAGCUCACAUAGGCAUUUUCGUCAUUUCAUUUUUUUUUUGAAAAUCUCAAAACUUGCUAAAAAUGUAGUCGGUAAAUAGAAAAUAUAUAUUUAAUGAUUUAAAAACAAAUUAAGUAUCUAAAACGUUCAUUUGAAGUGAAAAUUUGACCAUUUGAAUAUAAUAAAAAUAUUCAAUAAAAUAAACUAUUUUCUUGUAAAAUAAUUUUCAUAAAACUAUCGGUACAUAAUUUUUAUAGCGUAAAAGUUAAUUAUAUUCAUAUAUACUAUAAAGCAAAUAACAAAAGCAUAAAAUUUCUUUUACAGUGACACGUGGGCCCACCUCUAACCAAAAUGCAUCGGAAGCUGGAAACCUACAGCUUUUACCGAUUCGAGUCCAAAUGAAAGUCCUUGUCAAAGUCAGCUAACUAUGGAAUUCCCCAAGCUUGAAAUGUGAGGAAAUGAGGGUGGUGAGAUUAUAAAAUCCCAGUGAGUAAACAGAUACCAUCUAAACUAUCUAAAGUCGAGUAAAUGGAGACAAUUAAAAUAAAUCAUCAUACUGUAAUUUCAUUACCUUUCAACUCAUUUCAACCAAAUAAAAUCAAUCCAUAAAAAUCGAGUAAUCAACUUGGCUUAUGAAUUUCUUAAAACUUUGGCUCGUGCCAAAACUCAUACUCGAUGAUACCUUGCGCAAGGCAUCCAAUCGAGUCCGCCAAAGCUGUUAAAAUUUUGUAUACACGUAAAACAUAUCUUUAGUUUGAAAAACACAACCAUUUCUUGGCGUUGGUUGAGUUCUCCUUCACGUGGUGGUUUAGCGUGAAGUGAACCCUAAGCUUUACCCUAAGAGAUACCCUACGCGCCUCUCCGUUCGAGGUAACAAUAUAAUGGAGUUUGCCGUGCCCCUCUAAUAGGCUGGUCCACGGAACCCCCUCUGCGGUGAAUAAUUAAUAUAUACUCCACCAAUCAAUAAAAUUCAUUCUAGCAUGACAUUGCAAUUUAUUGCAACCUAGCCUCUCAAGACUGAAUACUCAAUACAAAUAAUUCUAACACCAAAAUCAGUUUAGCCAUUCAUGCUCAUUUAUUGUCAUAAGCCAUUCAAUUCAAAACCAUAAAUUUACAACACAAGCAAGCAGUCUCCAAUUACUCUAUUUUCAAAACCAGUAUUCGAUUUUUCAGAAAAUUUAUAAAAUCAUUUUAUAAAAUCGCAAUUUCUCUUAAAACAUAGCAAUUUACCAUUUAAACCCAUUUUUCAUAAAAUCAUACAAUUAUAUAAAACUACUCUAGAUAAUUAAGACGAUAGUAAGUUUACUCACUGUUCUAGGAGUCGAUGUACUCCUAAUCCCAGUCUCCAAGCACAAUUUCUGUACUUUUACCAAUGUACUUUGCUCACCACCUAUCCACAAUGUACAAUACAUAAUUCAUCACAUCAAUGCUUGACUAUUAUAAAAUCAAUUCAGGCUCGAUAUAUAUGCAUGAUAUGAUAUACAACUUAUCAGACUACCGUUUAAAUGCGGUGCUGACCUAAUUCGGUCUAUUAUCUCCAAUUUAACUCCAAAUCAAUUCUUCUCACUUUCUACACUCCAAUUAUACCUAAAUUACGUUAAUGACUGUGAAUAAGAUUCAAUUUAUCAGUUUCGGUAGCAAAUUAUGAAAAUACCCCUAGUGGGUAAAAAUUCGUAUUUUUGCUCUGAAAAUUCCCGUUAUUUUUCUAAGCUCAUAAUUCAUCAUUUCUUAACCAAUUCUCCUAGAAUGAAAAUCAAAUUCAUCCUCACUCAACACAUGGUAAAUUCGACCAUUAAGGGUUGUGGGAGAAAAUAAAUUCUUUUCUUGUUGUUUUGUUUCUAAAUAUGCUAAACUAACUUAAAACACUAACAUAACUUAAAAUCAAAUUAAUCUAACAAUUUUCUCUCUCUUAACCCAUUUUUCAGAAUUGAAUUCAUUAUAAUAACUCAAUAUUCAACCAUAGAAAUCAAGAACAAAAGCAUGGGUAAGCUAGGUAUCAAGGAGAACUAAAGAAAUUCUAACUUACCUAGCUUGUUUCCUUGAUUUCUUCACU